rnacentral:lncRNA from 1 species
GAACGAUCUAAUUUAUUCAAUGACUUCCAAUGCUUUUAUUGCUCAACAAACAACUAUUAAAACGGAAACAGAACUGACUCAUUCUAAACUAAUGAGAACAUGUCUCUUAUUCCUAUAAUGACGCAAAGACUCAAACAUACUUAUUACUCAAAGAUCAAGGUACAUAGAAGUGACAUGGCUCUUGAGUUUUCCACCAGGACGGGUAAAUUCAUCACCAAUUUCGUAGCUAACAUUCGUUAUACGUUGAUAGUUAAGCAUUUCUUUUAUAAUUUGGCGUCGCAUAUUAGUUGGCUUCAAAAGCUCCUCGUUUAUCAUCUUAUUAGCGUUUGCAAUAAUUUGAUGAAGCUUUUCAAAUGCUUCUUUUUCGGUAACUCCAUAUUGCUUCUUGUAACAGUUGAUCGAGUUCGUGACAUAUCCUCUGCUCAUGUCAUCCUAAUGAAUGUCACACAUGUACGAUUGAUUAUUAAUAAACAACAUAUGAAUUACUAGAAUAAAAAUAACUUUCCACCAUGUGUACCUCGAGCCAUGAAUAUCAUUCAGCACUCUUGUUACUGUAUACAUUGCUAUCACAAGUUUGUCUCCAGAUUUCAACCACUCAUAGGCUUCUUUCUUGCAGAUAUCUUUCAUAGCCAUCAAAACACCUGCUAUAGUAAAAUCCACAGCAACUUCGACUCCAGCGACUUCUAGAUACUCCUCAAAACUAGGGACGUGAUCCGCUUCUACCCA